rnacentral:misc_RNA from 1 species
CUCGUUAUGCAAGAAUGUAAGGGCGGUGCCUCUCUCUUUUUUCUUGUGCUCUCUGCGCAGUUCACGGGUGAGUUUGUGUGUGUGUGUGUGUGUGCUCUUCGCGGUCUCGGAAAGCCACUGCUGAGAUGCGUUUGCGACGCCCUGCUGAGAUGUGGAACAGGCACACCAACAUGGGCGCCGCCAUGCAUACAUACAUACAUACGUACACACACCCAGACACAAACCGUAGAGGCGCCUACGGAUAUCGAUUCGCAUGGCGUGGCGGCCAUUCACGCACAUACUUUGUUUGUGACCUCCUCUUCCUCAUUUGUCAUUUCGGUUUGUUGGCGUUUUGCACGUUAAUGGUUGUGAAAUGGAGCUCCUGCUCUAGUUCCUCCCUCUUAUUCGGAUUGGGUGCGAUUUGACCGUAUGUUUACCCCGUAUUGGCGACUAUGAGUGAAUGUGUGCGUGUAUGUAGGCAUGUAUUAUAUAUAUAUAUGCACGUCUGUGUGUAUGUGUUUGAGUGUGAGUGCAAGUGCAGACGAAACAGAAAGUGGCGUGAUGCGUUUGUUCUUGUUGGCUACACCUUUGUCGGCUGUAUCCUGCCUUCUCCCUCACUUAAGCCUUUUCGUACAGCUUUCAUGGAUUUCUUUCCAUCUUGUUGCCCCGCCCGCCCCACCUGUUCUUUGCCUCUCUCGUCGUCCGUCGCUUAUUCGCUACGCUUAACACACACAAAAACACGCGUUUUCUCUUCCUCUGCCUUUUUUUUCGCUUUCUAUUUUUUUCGUUUUUAAUGUUUUGUGCUGCGUCUUUUUUCAGCUGUUUCUCUAACACACUCUCCUCUCUCCGUGUUUCCUACAAAAACUCACACGCACGCUCGAACACACGCACACGCACGCAGGUACGUGCAUGCAUGUAGCCUCUCUUGAUUAAGAACGAAGAAAAAAAAACGUAGACUAAUAUGCCACAGUCGUGGUUCCGUGUAGACACAUAAAGAAUGAAAAGAGCAUAGGGCAGAGUUUUUGGUAUGACGAUUCGCACGACCUUGGUGUCGUGGGCGCCCUUUAGAGCCGGUAAUGGGGGCAAGCGUUUAUCGGAUUCUGCUGAGGUGAGCGGAAGGAGCGGGCGUAAACCCCAGUCUUGCUAGCUCUACCUCCUCGCGUGCGUGUGUCGGUGCAUGCGCUCACCGAGCGAGCAACACGGCGGGUGAGACUCUACCAUCACCACCACUCUCCCUCCCUCACGCCAAUUCAUUCAUCGCCAUCCGCUCCCUGGUGCGCUCACGCUGGCUGUGACGCACCCCCGCUCCCGCUCACCGAGCUCACGCUUUCGCUCCGCGCCGUCUUCUCUUUGUGUGCCUUCACUUUACCGACGUACACGCAAAAGCGCCAGACGCGCGCGCGUGCGCUCAUGCUGAUAUGCCGAUGUAGAGAGAACAGAGGAGCAUAGCCUGCAGGUCUCCUGCAAUAGCCUUCAUCUGCGCCCGGGCUCGGCCUAUGCAUGACGUUCGCUUUGCACGCUUUUCGCCGCAGUUCCUGAUCCGCUGGCUGCAUCUCGCCUUUACCCCCCCUCCCCACGCUCACCCUGUCUUCCUCCGUACGUCUGUUUCUUUGGCGUUGCAUGCUCGAUGCCUCAACUUGGCGACGCGUUCUGGCAAACUCAG